rnacentral:rRNA from 1 species
AUUGAACGCUGGCGGCAGGCCUAACACAUGCAAGUCGAACGAGUGGCGGACGGGUGAGUAAUGUCUGGGAAACUGACUGAUGGAGGGGGAUCACUACUGGGAACGGUAGCUAAUACCGCAUACCAUCGGAUGUGCCGAGAUGGGAUUAGCUUGGAGGUGGGGUAAAGGCUCACCUAGGCGACGAUCCCUAGCUGGUCUUAGAGGAUGAACAGCCACCCUGGAACUGAGACACGGUCCAGACUCCUACGGGAGGCAGCAGUGGGGAAUAUUGCACAAUGGGCGAAAGCCUGAUGCAGCCAUGCCGCGUGUAUGAAGAAGGCCUUCGGGUUGUAAAGUACUUUCAGCGGGGAGGCGUUACCCGCAGAAGAAGCACCGGCUAACUCCGUGCCAGCCGCCGCGGUAAUUC